rnacentral:rRNA from 1 species
AGUGAACGCUGGCGGUAGGCCUAACACAUGCAAGUCGAACGGCAGCACAGUAAGAGCUUGCUCUUACGGGUGGCGAGUGGCGGACGAGUGAGGAAUACAUCGGAAUCUACUUUUUCGUGGGGGAUAACGUAGGGAAACUUACGCUAAUACCGCAUACGACCUACGGGUGAAAGCAGGGGACCUUCGGACCUUGCGCGAUUGAAUGAGCCGAUGUCGGAUUAGCUAGUUGGCGGGGUAAAGGCCCACCAAGGCGACGAUCCGUAGCUGGUCUGAGAGGAUGAUCAGCCACACUGGAACUGAGACACGGUCCAGACUCCUACGGGAGGCAGCAGUGGGGAAUAUUGGACAAUGGGCGCAAGCCUGAUCCGGCCAUACCGCGUGGGUGAAGAAGGCCUUCGGGUUGUAAAGCCCUUUUGUUGGGAAAGAAAAGCAGCAGGUUAAUACCCCGCUGUUCUGACGGUACCCAAAGAAUAAGCACCGGCUAACUUCGUG